rnacentral:rRNA from 1 species
GGGAUGGCCCUAGUAACGGCGAGUGAAGCGGCAACAGCUCAAAUUUGAAAUCUGGNUCUUUCAGAGUCCGAGUUGUAAUUUGCAGAGGGCGCUUUGGCGUUGGCAGCGGUCCAAGUUCUUUGGAACAGGACGUCACAGAGGGUGAGAAUCCCGUACGUGGUCGCUAGCCUUCGCCGUGUAAAGCCCCUUCGACGAGUCGAGUUGUUUGGGAAUGCAGCUCUAAAUGGGAGGUAAAUUUCUUCUAAAGCUAAAUAUUGGCCAGAGACCGAUAGCGCACAAGUAGAGUGAUCGAAAGAUGAAAAGCACUUUGGAAAGAGAGUCAAAUAGCACGUGAAAUUGUUGAAAGGGAAGCGCUUGCAGCCAGACUUGCCUGUAGUUGCUUAUCCGGACUUUUGUCCGGUGCACUCUUCUGCGGGCAGGCCAGCAUCAGUUUGGGCGGUUGGAUAAAGGUCUCUGUCAUGUACCUCCUUUCGGGGAGGCCUUAUAGGGGAGACGACAUGCAACCAGCCUGGACUGAGGUCCGCGCAUCUGCUAGGAUGCUGGCGUAAUGGCUGUAAGCGGCCCGUCUUGAAACACGGACCAAGGAGUCUAACAUCUAUGCGAGUGUUUGGGUGUCAAGCCCAGACGCGUAAUGAAAGUGAACGGAGGUGGGAACCUUUUAGGUGCACCAUCGACCGAUCCUGAUGUCUUCGGAAGGAUUUGAGUAAGAGCAUGGCUGUUGGGACCCGAAAGAUGGUGAACUAUGCUUGAAUAGGGUGAAGCCAGAGGAAACUCUGGUGGAGGCUCGCAGCGGUUCUGACGUGCAAAUCGAUCGUCAAAUUUGGGCAUAGGGGCGAAAGACUAAUCGAACUAUCUAGUA